AUGCUGAGCUCAGUCUGCGUCUCGUCCUUCCGCGGGCGCCAGGGGGCCAGCAAGCAGCAGCCGGCGCCACCGCCGCAGCCGCCCGAGUCCCCGCCGCCGCUGCCCCCGCCGCCGUCACCGCCGCCGCUGCAGCAGCAGCAGUCUGCGCAGCCCGGCCCCGCCGCGUCCUCGGCGGGCCCCCCGGCACCUCGCGGGCCCGGGGGCCGGCGCGCCGAGCCAUGCCCCGGGCUGCCGGCGGCGGCCAUGGGGCGGCACGGCGGCGGCGGUGGCGACAGCGGCAAGAUCGUGAUCAACGUGGGCGGCGUGCGCCAUGAGACGUACCGCUCGACGCUGCGCACCCUGCCGGGGACGCGGCUGGCCGGCCUGACGGAGCCCGAGGCGGCGGCGCGCUUCGACUACGAUCCCGGCGCUGACGAGUUCUUCUUUGACCGGCACCCGGGAGUCUUCGCCUACGUGCUCAACUACUACCGCACAGGCAAGCUGCACUGUCCGGCCGACGUGUGCGGGCCGCUUUUCGAGGAGGAGCUCGGCUUCUGGGGCAUCGACGAGACCGACGUGGAGGCCUGCUGCUGGAUGACCUACCGGCAGCACCGCGACGCCGAAGAGGCGCUCGACUCCUUCGAGGCUCCGGACCCAGCGGGCGCAGCCAACGCCGCCAACGCCGCCGGCGCCCACGACGCGGGCCUGGACGACGAGGCGGGUGCGGGCGGCGGCGGCUUGGACGGCGCGGGCGGCGAGCUCAAGCGCCUCUGCUUCCAGGACGCGGGCGGCGGCGCCGGGGGGCCGCCAGGGGGCGCGGGCGGCGCAGGCGGCACGUGGUGGCGCCGCUGGCAGCCCCGUGUGUGGGCGCUCUUCGAGGACCCCUACUCGUCGCGGGCCGCCAGGUAUGUGGCCUUCGCCUCCCUCUUCUUCAUCCUCAUCUCCAUAACCACCUUCUGCUUGGAGACCCACGAAGGCUUCAUCCAUAUCAGCAACAAGACGGUGACACAGGCCUCCCCGAUCCCCGGGGCUCCACCAGAGAACAUCACCAAUGUGGAGGUGGAGACGGAGCCCUUCCUGACCUAUGUGGAGGGCGUGUGUGUGGUCUGGUUCACCUUCGAGUUCCUCAUGCGCAUCACCUUCUGCCCGGACAAGGUGGAAUUUCUCAAGAGCAGCCUCAACAUCAUCGACUGUGUGGCCAUCUUGCCCUUCUAUCUCGAGGUGGGACUCUCAGGCCUCAGCUCCAAGGCUGCUAAAGACGUGCUGGGCUUCCUGCGGGUUGUCCGCUUUGUCCGAAUCCUUCGCAUCUUCAAGCUCACGCGCCAUUUUGUGGGGCUGCGCGUGCUGGGCCACACACUCCGUGCCAGCACCAACGAGUUCCUGCUGCUCAUCAUCUUCCUGGCGCUGGGCGUGCUCAUCUUCGCUACCAUGAUCUACUACGCGGAGCGCAUUGGCGCUGACCCCGAUGACAUCCUGGGCUCCAACCACACCUACUUCAAGAACAUCCCCAUCGGCUUCUGGUGGGCCGUGGUCACCAUGACGACCCUGGGCUACGGAGACAUGUACCCCAAGACGUGGUCGGGGAUGCUGGUCGGGGCACUGUGUGCCCUGGCGGGGGUGCUCACCAUCGCCAUGCCCGUGCCCGUCAUUGUCAACAACUUUGGCAUGUACUAUUCGCUGGCCAUGGCCAAGCAGAAGCUGCCCAAGAAGAAGAACAAACACAUCCCCCGCCCCCCGCAGCCCGGCUCUCCAAACUACUGCAAGCCCGACCCUCCCCCGCCACCCCCGCACCACCCCCACCACGGCAGCGGUGGCAUCAGCCCCCCGCCCCCCAUCACCCCACCUUCCGUGGGGGUGACUGUGGCUGGGGCCUACCCACCGGGCCCCCACACGCACCCCGGGCUGCUCAGGGGGGGAGCGGGUGGGCUCGGGAUCAUGGGGCUGCCUCCUCUGCCAGCCCCUGGGGAGCCUUGCCCAUUGGCUCAGGAGGAAGUCAUUGAGAUCAACCGGGCAGAUCCACGCCCCAAUGGGGACCCUGCUGCAGCUGCGCUCGCCCACGAGGACUGCCCAGCCAUCGACCAGCCCGCCAUGUCCCCAGAAGACAAGAGCCCCAUCACCCCCGGGAGCCGAGGACGCUAUAGCCGGGACCGAGCCUGCUUCCUCCUCACCGACUAUGCCCCUUCCCCUGAUGGCUCCAUCCGGAAAGCCAUUGGUGCUCCCCCACUGCCCCCCCCAGACUGGCGUAAGCCAGGUCCCCCAAGCUUCUUGCCCGACCUCAACGCCAACGCUGCAGCCUGGAUAUCCCCCUAGCGGACGAAUCCCCUUCCCCCGGGCUCUUGUCACCGCCUGAGACCUCGCGAGACCCUCGGUCCCCCCCUGCCCCUUCCCCCCAGGUUACGAGAAAUCCCGCAGCCUGAGCAGCAUCGCGGGCCUGAGCGGGGUGUCCCUGCGCCUGGCGCCCCUUGCCACUCCCCCUGGCUCUCCCAGGGCCGCCCGCCGCGCUCCCCCAACCCUGCCCUCCAUCCUCUAGCGCUCCCCUCCCCCCCGUGGGGGGACUCGGGGGUGACAGGGAAGAAGGUCAAAGGAGCUGGGGGUGGGGGGUGGGGGAAAGGGUUUUUUUUUUUAAAUCAAAAAGUCAUUAAUAAUAUGCAACCGAGACGACGACGCCAGCAGACACCCCCGGACCCCUCACCCCCACCUGGGCCCCCAGGAUGGAGGGGGAGGAGCCAAAGUCCAGCCCCCCCAACUCUCCACUCCCCCACCCCCAAAUAAAGCCUUCUCAGGUCUCCAUGAGCCAUAGGAAUUCCCGCUCCCAUAAACUCCUGUAAAUAAGUCCAAAUUAUGCCAAUUACAUUUUGGGGCGCCUCUCCCCUACUCUGCAUGCCUCCCUCAACCUGGACCCCGCCCCCAAGUCCACCUCAGCAAUAAGCCGCCAGGGGCUGCAUGCCACGCGAUUGAGGGAAGGGGCAUUCUGGGAAGGGGGCGGGGACGUCAAGGGAGUCGGGCUGGCUUUUAAGCCACGCGAGGGUAUCCUAGCCUCCUACCCUUCACCCCAGGAGGGCAACCCAUCACAUUGAUGUAAAAAAUAUAUAUAUAUUAGCAACAAUGCGGGGUAAGGAGGAACAGUCAACUCAAGCCCCAAAAACGAGCUGAGCUCAGAUGGUAGAAGCAGAGGCACAGGGCGUGUGCUGUGGACAGCUGCUCCCUCAGCCUUUAGGAGGAUCCCUCUGGUGGAUGUGACCCUUUCAUCCCUCCCCGGACCACCCCCCCCAAGGGAUCUGCUCGCCUCUAUUCUUGCUGCAUGGACUCAGACCUCCCAUCUCAGAAUUUCUGGGAUGAUCUGGCCCUAGCACACAAAAUUCCCCAACACCCCCUCCAGAUUACCAGGACAUGAGGCCUGCACCCAGAAUUCCUGAGACCAACCCUGGCACCCCGCAUCCCCUAAAUCGCCACAGGGUCCUGGGACUUAACCUCUGCAUACAGAUGCUGCCCCCAAGCCCCGCCCCACCCAUUGCCUGGACUGCAUCCCAGCACCUCAAAUCUCCAAGACUUAACCCAGCCCUUCAGCUCACUUUCAGCCUUUGGGAUGCUCCAGAUCCUUCCCACACUUGGACAUUUCUUGGACACCACCAAAUCCUCAGGCCUACCCCCCUCCAAAUA